GUUGCUGUCAAUGUCUCUCCAACAUGUUUAAUUUUCGGUGAAACAGAAUUUAAUAGCUUCGAACUAUUCUCAGAAGUGAAUUCGCAAAGUUGCUUCAUGCUUUUUCUAAUUACACAUAAUUAAUUAGAAUAUAGUGGCACAUAAUAAAUUAUUAUUGCGUUCUGGUUGGUUGGAACCACUAACAGCAAGCACUCUAAUAAAUUAUUUCAAUGAAACGACGAGACUGUAAGAUGAGAUUAAAGUCUGCGUGACAAUGUAUUUGUAUUGCUGACUUGUGUUUCUGCAGCUGGGUAAAGUACAAUUAAUUGGAUUGAUAUUGGCUCAUAUACGUGCAGCAGGUAUCUUUCCGUGGAAAUGCCAGUCGCCUUCGACAUUAUUGUGCUGUAAUAUUUAAAUUGCUGUCCAUGCAGUCCAUCGCUUAUAAAUCCUGGUGCAACUCGUCAGUUUCAGACCAACUUCGCGAGUUCUCAAGUGGUUCAGUUACUACUAAUAUAUCUACUAUAUAUCGAAAAAGAUAAUGUAUUUUAAAUGUACGUCUCUGUUCAUUAUUGGUUGUGUUAUGAUAUUAAACAACAAAGGU